CCCAAUUUCACUUCUGUUAAACUUUCCCCCUAAAAAGUUGAUUAUUUAGAAUGAAUUAAAAUUUAAGUUUUUAAAAAAUUAAUAUUUUUUUUAAUUAUGAACAGUAUAUUCUAGAGACCAGUGUUUUCCCAAGAGAACAUGAAGCCAUGAAAGAAUUGAGAGAGAUCACAGCAAAACACCCAUGGUAAAGAAAACUCAUUAAAUUUUUUUUAACUUGUUUAGUUUCUAUGUUUUUUAUUACUGAUUAAUUGAACCAAAAAAAAAACAGGAACCUCAUGACAACCUCUGCAGACGAAGGACAAUUUUUGAGCAUGCUCCUUAAACUCAUCAAUGCCAAGAACACCAUGGAAAUUGGUGUCUACACUGGCUACUCCCUCCUUGCCACUGCCCUCGCCAUUCCUGAAGAUGGAAAGGUAGUAUCAGUUCGAGAGAUGAUAUCUGGUUUAUAUUAAGAAUUAGUUAUUAAUUAUUCAUUCUGUAACAGAUUUUGGCUAUGGAUAUUAACAAGGAAAAUUACGAGUUGGGUCUUCCUGUGAUAAAAAAAGCUGGUGUUGACCACAAAAUUGAUUUCAGAGAAGGUCCUGCUCUACCAGUUCUUGAUGAACUAGUUAAAGAUGUAAGCUUU
rnacentral:lncRNA from 1 species